GACGAACGCUGGCGGCGUGCUUAACACAUGCAAGUCGAACGGAAAGGCCCUGCUUUUGUGGGGUGCUCGAGUGGCGAACGGGUGAGUAACACGUGAGUAACCUGCCCUUGACUUUGGGAUAACUUCAGGAAACUGGGGCUAAUACCGGAUAGGAGCUCCUGCUGCAUGGUGGGGGUUGGAAAGUUUCGGCGGGUGGGGAUGGACUCGCGGCUUAUGAGCUUGUUGGUGGGGUAGUGGCUUACCAAGGCUUUGACGGGUAGCCGGCCUGAGAGGGUGACCGGCCACAUUGGGACUGAGAUACGGCCCAGACUCCUACGGGAGGCAGCAGUGGGGAAUAUUGCACAAUGGGCGGAAGCCUGAUGCAGCAACGCCGCGUGCGGGAUGACGGCCUUCGGGUUGUAAACCGCUUUCGCCUGUGACGAAGCGUGAGUGACGGUAAUGGGUAAAGAAGCACCGGCUAACUACGUG
rnacentral:rRNA from 1 species